GGACUGUAGCUCAAUGGUAGAGCGCCUGCCUUGCACGUGGGAGGCACUGGGUUCAAUCUGCAGCACCA
rnacentral:tRNA from 1 species